CUUGCUCCUAGCUGACGAGUGGCGCACGGGUGAGUAAUGUAUAGCUAACAUGCCCCAUAGAGGGGGAUAACGUCUGGAAACGGACGCUAAUACCCCAUACUCCUUAUAGUUGAGAUACUAUAAGGGAAAUGGAUUUCCGCUAUGGGAUUGGGCUAUAUGGUAUCAGCUAGUUGGUAAGGUAAUGGCUUACCAAGGCAAUGACGCCUAACUGGUCUGAGAGGAUGAUCAGUCACACUGGAACUGAGACACGGUCCAGACUCCUACGGGAGGCAGCAGUGGGGAAUAUUGCACAAUGGGGGAAACCCUGAUGCAGCAACGCCGCGUGGAGGAUGACGCCUUUCGGGGUGUAAACUCCUUUUAUAUGGGAAGAUAAUGACGGUACCAUAUGAAUAAGCGCCGGCUAACUCCGUGCCAGCAGCCGCGGUAAUACGGGGGGUGCAAGCGUUACUCGGAAUCACUGGGCGUAAAGCNCGCGCAGGCGGNUAGUAAAGUCAGAAGUGAAAGCCCACAGCUUAACUGUGGAACUGCUUCUGAAACUCACUAGCUAGAGUCUGGGAGAGGUAAGUGGAAUUAGUGGUGUAGGGGUAAAAUCCGCAGAGAUCACUAGGAAUACCAAAAGCGAAGGCAACUUACUGGAACAGUACUGACGCUGAAGGCGCGAAAGCGUGGGGAGCAAACAGGAUUAGAUACCCUGGUAGUCCACGCCCCUAAACGAUGAAUGUUAGUCGUCGGAGUCCUAGUGACUUCGGUGAUGCAGCUAACGCAUUAAACAUUCCGCCUGGGGAGUACGGUCGCAAGAUUAAAACUCAAAGGAAUAGACGGGGACCCGCACAAGUGGUGGAGCAUGUGGUUUAAUUCGAAGAUACGCGAAGAACCUUACCUGGCCUUGACAUCCCGCGAACCCUCCAGAGAUGGAGGGGUGCCCCUUUUGGGGAACGCGGUGACAGGUGCUGCACGGCUGUCGUCAGCUCGUGUCGUGAGAUGUUGGGUUAAGUCCCGCAACGAGCGCAACCCUCGUGUUUAGUUGCUAACAGUUCGGCUGAGCACUCUAAACAGACUGCCUCCACAAGGAGGAGGAAGGUGAGGACGACGUCAAGUCAUCAUGGUCCUUACGGCCAGGGCGACACACGUGCUACAAUGGGCAGGACAAUGAGAUGCAAUACCGCGAGGUGGAGCAAAUCUAUAAACCUGCUCUCAGUUCGGAUUGUAGUCUGCAACUCG
rnacentral:rRNA from 1 species